GUCGGACCCAAUCGUGCGGUGCUUGAGGGUGUCAGCGCGGUCAGUGGCGGCGCUGAGAAGAGCGGCUGUCGCCAUGAUAGAGCAGCAGAAACGCAAGGCCCCAGAGUUGCCGCUGGUCCCAGUCAAGCGACAGCGGCAUGAGUUGCUUUUGGGAGCGGCGGGGUCGGGUCCCGGCACAGGGCAGCCGCAGGCAGCUCCGGGAGCUUUGCUGCAGGCGGGGCCUCCAAGGUGUUCCUCCCUUCAAGCCCCAAUCAUGCUCCUCUCAGGACAUGAAGGGGAAGUGUACUGCUGCAAGUUUCACCCCAAUGGAUCCACCUUAGCAUCUGCAGGAUUUGACCGACUGAUACUGUUGUGGAAUGUCUAUGGUGACUGUGAUAACUAUGCGACAUUGAAGGGACACAGUGGAGCAGUAAUGGAACUACAUUAUAAUACAGAUGGCAGCAUGCUCUUCUCAGCAUCCACAGAUAAAACUGUGGCAGUAUGGGAUAGUGAAACAGGCGAGAGGGUUAAAAGGCUGAAAGGACAUACUUCCUUUGUGAAUUCCUGUUAUCCAGCCAGACGGGGCCCCCAGCUUGUCUGCACUGGCAGUGAUGAUGGUACGGUUAAGCUUUGGGACAUCCGGAAAAAAGCGGCCAUCCAGACAUUUCAGAACACCUACCAGGUGUUAGCUGUGACCUUCAAUGACACAAGUGAUCAGAUUAUUUCUGGUGGAAUAGACAACGAUAUCAAGGUCUGGGACCUGCGCCAGAACAAGCUGACCUAUGCCAUGAGAGGCCAUGCAGAUUCUGUGACUGGCCUGAGUUUAAGUUCGGAAGGCUCUUACCUCUUGUCUAAUGCAAUGGACAAUACAGUGCGGGUCUGGGAUGUUCGGCCAUUUGCUCCCAAAGAGAGGUGUGUGAAGAUAUUUCAAGGAAAUGUGCACAACUUUGAAAAAAAUCUUCUGCGAUGUUCUUGGUCACCUGAUGGAAGCAAGAUAGCAGCUGGCUCAGCCGACAGAGUCUCAGGGUGAACAGGAACAUCCAGGUGCCAGGCUGUUGGGCCACAGAUGUGAAUGUUAGGUGUGAUGAAGCCCUUUGAUGGUUUGUGUAUGUGUGGGAUACCACAAGCAGGAGGAUUUUGUAUAAGCUGCCUGGACAUGCUGGCUCCAUCAAUGAAGUGGCUUUCCACCCUGACGAGCCCAUCAUUCUCUCGGCAUCCAGUGACAAGAGACUCUAUAUGGGGGAGAUUCAGUGAAGAUACAGGAUGGAAGACUGCAAGGCUACUUGACCUUGAGACCUCAGUCUGCAUACAUAGCAUCAAAUGAUGCCCAGGCCAGCAUCCUACCUUCAGAUUAAGAUCAUUACUAGCAAGAAACCAGGCCGAGGUGACUCUAUUCCAACAACCACUUGUUUCCCAUUCCACCAGGAUGAUUAAGGCAAGCUUGCAGUGACCUCUAAAAACCACCUGCCAGAUUUCAGGGACUGUUUGGGGAGUUUUUCCUCCUUUUUAAAAAAAAAUAGGGUUUCUUCAAGGGGACAAACAUUGGUUGGUUUAUAUUGUCCUGUUUUCUAAUGCAGGCUGAAGAUAGGGAAUGUUACUGAAAUUUGUUUGUUGGGGAUCAUUUUUUUUAAUUCAAUAACUGGCUUAUAUGAUAUUUUCUUUGUGUUUCUCUGAGUUUUUUGUAUUAAAAACCAAAUAGAUGCAUUUUUAUAAGA